UUAAUUUCGUUUGGUAAUUAAUGUUGAUGAUGCGUACCUUGUCCGUUUUGUGCAGAAGUAAUCACCACAUGCGUCUUCUGGGACCUCGAGGAUUUCAUACUCCCUGAUAAUUUAAAUCCUUUUUAUGUUUAUCGUAACCUGUCAUCAGCUCUUAAGAGUAAGGGUUUAAUUGGUGGGUUGAAAAUCUGGUUCUAUUAUGGAGGUGAUCUAGAUUUCACGGAUGAAAUCGCGGAUAAGUAUGAAGAGCUCGAUACCUUCUUCUUUCGCCUAGGUGAUAUAUAUUCUUCUAUUGAAAUCUUUUUUUUUUUUUUUACUUAUAACAUAUAUAUGCGUGUCUGUAAUCUAAGAUUUAUUUCAAUCUAUAGAAGGGGAUAUAUAUGAGAAAGCUACAAGGAUUAUGAGGGACGCUCUUCUCUGGUCAGUGGACAAUCCAGUGCGUGACGACAUUCCUGAACAAGCAAAUUUGUUUAUUAUCUCUAAUAAAUUCUCUGGAGAAGAAACCAAGGAACUCCUCAGUUAUCUGCAAGCUUUGGAAUCGAGAAAGUAUAAUAUUCUCUUAGCACUUAACGAACCCGAAUCAUGUGAAGCGCUGCUUCCUUCUGUAAGCUUGGAAUGGCUUUGGCAUAGAAUAUUAGGUGCUGGUGAUGAUCUUGAAGAUGAUGUUGACAAUACUACUCUUUGUAACUUGUGCAACAAGGAAGAAGAGUUGAAGGCAGCCAACCUUAAGAUUUUGGAGAUGGAGAAAGCACAAGCUGAACAAGACAAGGUGCUAGCUCAACAAACAAAAGAGCUCGAGUAUUUUAAGAAUAUAGUAUUUAACCAAUUUCCAAACUUGGUUCUUCCAACCAAUUCCUCCCACCCGAGACGAUAAUUAGUAUUGUGUAUUUUAUGUGUUUAUGUUAUAUCUUUUAAUUUUUUUUUUUUUUUCUAUUGAUUUGUUGAGACUUUUUUUUGGUGAGCAUUGAUUUGUUGAGACUUGAGACUAUUGGUUAUUGAUUGAUAAUUAAACUGAAUCAAGAGGUAGAGCUACGUCAAAAAAAUGUUGAGUCAUAUGACACACCGUACGUUUGGCAAAGGAGAAGAUAACAAAAAAGAAAAGCAUAGUUAUUAAUAAAAAAGAAAUGUCGUUGACUUCUUUUUUUUUUGGGAAAAAACCCGGAAAAACCGCUAUCUAUUUUUUUUUGGCCGUUUAAUACGUGUGUUUUUAAAUUUGGAAUAAAAAUACCUCGUUUAAUUGUUGUUGUCUUUUAAAUUCUUUGUUUUUUAAAUUUUGGUAGAUUCAUACAUCCGCGUUAAUGAUAACGGAAUCGUUAACCAGAGUUAAAAAUUAACCCAUAGUGUUUACGUAUAUAUAUACAAUCUCUUUUCAAACGUGUACGAAGAUAUUAUCUUAGUCUGUUGGUUAAACGUGGGAUAUAAUAUCUUUUGGGCCUGAUGAGUUCGAGUCCUACCUUGGAUUUUUUAGGCGUUUUAAUUUUUUUUUUUCUUCUUGUCGUUACUCAGAUCCGGUUAACGAUUCAGAUGAAGAAGAGGACGAUUGUGCUUAUCGAUGACUUCAGAUCCUAGAUUAGCUUCCGAUUUCGCUUGGAUUAUCUUCGAUUUCGUCAUUCCGAGCAUAAAUACGCGAAGCUUAAUGGCAGAUUUUCCCAUUCUCUUCUCUUUGAUUUCUUCGUUGUUGCAGAAGAAGAAAUUUGUUCAGAUUUUGGUUCCAAAAUUGUUGAGAUGGUAUUGGCUUUCAUUGGUGAUGGACUCGUCUUCUUUUGUGUUCUUUUGGUGUCCACUCCAUGUUUUAGCUUAAGGUGGUGGUUCUGGUGGAUUUUGCCGGCGGAGUAACGAGAAGAAGAAAAGAAAAAAAAAAUCUUAAAGAAAAUUAAAAAAAGCUGCAGAUCUGGGUUUCGAACCCUAGUUCUAUGGGCAGAAAAAUAGACCUCUCACCACCAGACCACGGUAAUAAAUACCUAAAUAAAGUCAAACAUGUUUUAUAUACCUAUUUAAAUACGUGGAGUUAAUUUUUAACUAUGGUUAACGAUUCCGUUAACGCGGAUGUAUGAAUCUACCAAAAUUUAAAAAACAAAGAAUUUAAAAGACAACAACAAUUAAACGAGGUAUUUUUAUUCCAAAUUUAAAAACACACGUAUUAAACGGCCAAAAAAAAAAUAGAUGGCGGUUUUUCCGGGUUUUUUCCCUUUUUUUUUUGAUUAAAUUCUCCCAAAUCCUUUCAAUAAAUCUCACCAAAUCACUAGUGAUUUUUUUUUUUUAAAAAGAAAUCAAACAAAUCAACCCAACUAUCCUAAAAUUUUACUCAAAUCACUCCAAAACCUAAAAUAUAGAAAUUCCACCAAACCCCUCCAAAUAUUUAAUUCAAUACACCCCCUUAGUACUUCUUAUUUUAGUUAUUGUGAAUCAAAUAUUUAAAAAUUAAAUUUUCAAUUCAUAUUUGAUAGUAAUAUUUUUGAACAUUAUUUUGGUCACUAAUUUUUGAUCAUUCAUUUUGUCAGUAACAUUUGAUCUUUUUUUUUGGGUCAGUAAUUUUCGACCAAUUUAUGACCCCAGUUUAUUUGCGAGCAGCGGUUUUUUACGACUUAAAUUAAAAGAGAACAGUAAAUGAACGUGUCAAUUGUACUUGAUAGUCUCUCAUCCGUAACCACAUGCUUAGCCCAAACCCUAAUUGUUUUCUUUUUCUUUUGAUUCUCUAUAAGACCAUGAGCAGAUAAUUCAACAGUAAGAUCACUGGCUAUCUCUUGCUCGAUUUUUUUUUUAAAUGAUACGUUUUAAUAAUCUACAAAAGCCGACAAAUUAGAUUAUUGGAGAUCCAACGGCUGAAAAGAGAACAUGCCGAAGAUCUCUCUCUCAUGGGCAGCAAUAUAUAAGCCAGUACCCAACAUUAUCCUCUCAUCCGCCGAUCUAAACCCUAAUUUCUUGUCCAUCGAAAUCAUGUCGGAUGAACACGACGGUAAGAUCUCUCUGUCUCUUGCACUUAUGUUUCUGAUUAUAACCUCUCUGUAUUUUUCUUGCUCAGAAUUGUUUCUGAUCAUAAUCAGGCUCUUGUCUAUCAUACUAAAUUAUAAUUCGAUCAAUCUGUCUUAGUAAAAUCAAUGGUUGGAUGGAUCUAAUCGAUUGUAUUCAUGAUCCGAUUGUAUGAUGAUGCUUUCUCCGUUUUUGUGCAGAAGUGAAAGUGAUUACCACAUGCGUCUUCUGGGACCUCGAGGAUUUCGUAGUCCCUGAUAAUUUAAAUCCUUUUUAUGUUUAUCGUAACCUGUUAUCAGCUCUUAAGAGUAAGGGUUUUAUUGGUCGGUUGAAAAUCUGGUUCUAUUAUGGAGGUAAUCUAGAUUUCACGGAUGAAUUCGUGGACAAGUAUGAAGAGCUCCAUACCUUCUUCUUUCGCCUAGGUGAUAUAUAUUCUUCUAUUUAAAUCUUUUUUUUUAUAUACUUAUAACAUAUAUAUGCGUGUCUGUAAUCUAAGAUUUAUUUCAAUCUAUAUAUAUAUAUAUAUAGAAGGGGAUAUAUAUGAGAAAGCUACAAGGAUUAUGAGGGACGCUCUUCUCUGGUCAGUGGACAAUCCAGUGCGUGACGACAUUCCUGAACAAGCAAAUUUGUUUAUUAUCUCUAAUAAAUUCUCUGGAGAAGAAACCAAGGAGCUCCUCAGUUAUCUGCAAGCUUUGGAAUCGAGAAAGUAUAAUAUUCUCUUAGCACUUAACGAACCCGAAUCAUGUGAAGCGCUGCUUCCUUGUGUAAGCUUGGAAUGGCUUUGGC
rnacentral:lncRNA from 1 species